rnacentral:lncRNA from 1 species
CUCAGUUGGCUGCGGCUUGGACGCUGAUGGCUCAGCUCAAGCACAGAUUGACCAAGUUUAAGUGGUCCGACAAACAGAAUGGCCACACCAAACAUCCCCAUGCACGGAAAAAACGGAAUGGCACAGUGGAGGAGAUUUGUCCGGUCAAUGCAGCGCGACUCAUCGUGCGAUCGGAGCGGCGUGACGUGCGGGAGGAGCAAUCGAUCUGUCUCCUGAAGUAGAUUGGCCGAAACAAAGCGACAGAUGACACAGAACGAUAGAUCUUUCAAAUG